rnacentral:rRNA from 1 species
UACGAGGGGGCAAAUGUUGUUCGGAAUCAUUGGGCGUAAAGGGCGCGUAGGUGGCCCGGUCAGCGUGCGGUGAAAGCUCGGGGCUCAACCCCGAGUCGGCCGUGCGAACUGCUGGGCUUGAGCACUGUAGAGGCAGGCGGAAUUCCGGGGUGUAGCGGUGGAAUGCGUAGAGAUCCGGAAGAACACCGGUGGCGAAGGCGGCCUGCUGGGCAGUGGCUGGACACUGAGGCGCGACAGCGUGGGGGAGCAAACAGGG